GGAAGUAAAAGUCGUAAUAAGGUUUCCGUAGGUGAACCUGCGGAAGGAUCAUUAUUGUAUAACCGAGGUGCGAGGGCUGUCGCUGACCCGAAAGGUCGUGCACGCCCGAGUGCCCUCACACACAUCCACCUCACCCCUAUGUGCACCACCGCGUGGGUCCCCCUUUGGCUUGUUCGGAGGGGGGCUUACGUUUUCACACAAACUUUGUAUGCAGUGUAGAAUGUAUUUUUUGUUUUUGCGAUCACGCAAUCAAUACAACUUCCAACAACGGAUCUCUUGGCUCUC
rnacentral:misc_RNA from 1 species